rnacentral:rRNA from 1 species
UGAAUGGUUUGACGAGAGCUAUGCUGUCUCUUUUGGAAUAUUUAAAAAUUAACUUUUAGGUGAAGAGGCCUGAAUUUAUUUAAGGGACAAGAAGACCCUGUUGAGCUUUAGUGACUUUAUAAAUUUAUAUAUAAUUUGUUAUUGAUUAUAUUUUUGUAUAUUAAUGUAUAACUUAGGUUUAUGAAUAAUCUUUAGUUGGGGCGACUGAGGAACAUACAAAGCUUCCUUGAGUUUGAAGGCGUGUUGGCCUGGCUGAUUUAUUGAUGCGUUUGUGUUAAUUUUGAUCCANUUUAUUUUGAUUAAGANAAAAAGUUACCACAGGGAUAACAGCGUAAUCUUUCUGGAGAGAUCUAAUCNAAAGGAGGGUUUGCGACCUCGAUGUUGGACUAAGAUAUCCUGAGGGUGUAGAAGUUCUCAAAGGUUGGUCUGUUCGACCAUUAAAAUCUU